GCUGCAUGGCUGUCGUCAGCUCGUGUCGUGAGAUGUUGGUUAAGUCCCGCAACGAGCGCAACCCUUAUCUUUAAUUGCCAGCAUUCAGUUGGGCACUUUAAAGAGACUGCCGGUGUUAAACCGGAGGAAGGUGGGGAUGACGUCAAGUCCUCAUGGCCUUUAUGCUUAGGGCUACACACGUGCUACAAUGGGUGGUACAAAGAGAAGCCAACUCGCGAGAGCGCGCCAAUCUCAAAAAGCCAUCCUCAGUUCGGAUUGGAGUCUGCAACUCGACUCCAUGAAGUUGGAAUCGCUAGUAAUCGCGGAUCAGCAUGCCGCGGUCGAAUACGUUCCCGGGCCUU
rnacentral:rRNA from 1 species